rnacentral:rRNA from 1 species
CUUGUACGCACCGCCCGUCACACCAUGGGAGCGGGUUCUGCCAGAAGUAGUUAGUCUAACCGCAAGGAGGGCGAUUACCACGGCAGGUUCGUGACUGGGGUG